rnacentral:rRNA from 1 species
UCCUACGGGAGGNCAGCAGUGAGGAAUAUUGGUCAAUGGGCGCAAGCCUGAACCAGCCAUGCCGCGUGCAGGAUGACGGUCCUAUGGAUUGUAAACUGCUUUUGUACAGGAAGAAACACCCCGACGUGUCGGGACUUGACGGUACUGUAAGAAUAAGGAUCGGCUAACUCCGUGCCAGCAGCCGCGGUAAUACGGAGGAUCCAAGCGUUAUCCGGAAUCAUUGGGUUUAAAGGGUCCGUAGGCGGCUUAAUAAGUCAGUGGUGAAAUCCCUACGCUUAACGUAGGAACGGCCAUUGAUACUGUUAGGCUUGAAUUAUUAGGAAGUAACUAGAAUAUGUAGUGUAGCGGUGAAAUGCUUAGAGAUUACAUGGAAUACCAAUUGCGAAGGCAGGUUACUACUAAUGGAUUGACGCUGAUGGACGAAAGCGUGGGUAGCGAACAGGAUUAGAUACCCUGGUAGUCCACGCCGUAACGAUGGAUACUAGCUGUGGAAGCAAUUUCAGUGGCUAAGCGAAAGUGAUAAG